UCCCGCUGCGCUACUAGUCGGUAACGAAAAAGAUCAAACCAUGUAUGCAGUCUCCAUAGUGGUCCUGGGCUGGUGCGUAGGUCGGAAAAUUUUUGUUUUCUGCUGCGUUCCCCUACAAGUAAAGCAUGUUCCUGUGCCAAGACAAGAUGACAAUUCUUCUUGUGCACUCUACAUGCUGAAGAACAUCGAAUUCUUUACGGGAUAAGAUCUUACGCUGCGUUAUGACCAAGCAUACAUUGACAAUUAUAGAAGAGAGCUGCCUGUUGUCCUUAAUUCGCCCGACACCAAAUUGAAGUCCAUGAAAAGGCUGAAGAAGUACAAUGCUAGCCUAUCGGAUGCAGCUGCGAUUGAAGAUCAUGAAGAUGCAAGCAGUUAGUCCAGCAGUGGUUGAUUCUUAGAUCUGGAGUGUACACUUGGUUAUGAAGCGGUAGAGUAGGGUGUGGUUUGGUUUUAGUACCGAAGAAGGUUUCCUAGCCAUGUUCUUAGUCCAGUGCGGAUUAAUCAAGUUGUAAUAUUUCACAGUACUGGUUCCAAAUACUAUUCUUGAAAUAAAUUUGGUCUGCAUGGGAGA